ACUGAAAUCUCUGCAGCUGCUGACGGACACCAGGAUUCUCACUGUGGACCUUUUAUUUCUGCUCGACCUUUUCUUUAUACAUUCAGUGAGAUUUUAUAAACCCUCUGGAUUGUUCAUCUCUCUUCUCACAGAUGGAAAUACAUACUCCAGCCACUGUAUUUAAAUUGAUGAUCCAGUCGGAGCUGUAAAGUGUCAUUCUGAUGAAUCAAAUUUGAUCAAACAUGAGAUUCAGAUGGAGCAGAGAAAGAAAAUCACACAUCCAGAAAACUGCUGGAGCCUCAGAAAUCACAGAGCAGCAGAAAACAAGAAGACAGAGAGAAAAAUGGAGACACAAACCAGUGGAUCACAAGAGGAAAGAGGACAGAGACGUGAGAGAUGCAGCAGUAUGGAGAGAGUAAGGCCAAACUUGUCAUGUGAUCCAGACGAGCCUGUAAAGAUUGAUUCUGAUGUCAAAAGUGAGGAGAGACUCUCUCAUCAAAACCUUCAUCACUGACGUCCAUCAGCAAACGCUGAAGUCCUGAACAUCACCACCAUCAUCAUCUUCAUCAUCACCAUCUUCAUCAUCAUCAUCACCACCGUCUUCAUCAUCAUCACCACCAUCACAAUCAUCACCACCAUCACAUCACAAUCAUCACCAUCAUCAUCACCAUCACCAUCACCACCGUCAUCACAAUCACCACCAUCAUCUUCAUCAUCAUCGGUCUGCUCUCUCCUGUCUUCUGGAAUCUUCUACAGACUCAUCUGAGCUCAAACACUCUCAUCAAGAGCUUCUUUCUCAGGAGGUUUACACAACACCGUUUUCAACUAAAACUUUUUAUUCAUUUUAGCUGUUCAUUUACACGACAACAGCGUUUUGGUGGCCUGAAAACGCAAACCUUUGAAAACGGGUUUCAAAAUGCAAGUUUUUGAAAACGAUACCGUUAUCAUCUCCGUGUAAACUACAAAAACACGGAUCUGUGAAAACGGUGAUGUCAUGCACAUGCGUAUUACAUGUUUAAUCUAUCCACAUUAUUUUUCAACCCCGAAAUACGGUGUUUUCUGUGAAUGUUUGAGACUUCUGAUUUAUUCGCCGCUGCAGGGAAAUAAUGAGAAGAAUUUGAAGGUGCAGAAAACUGUAAAAAUAAGCUGGAUAGACGUGUGUGUUUGGUGUGAGUGCUCUGUAAGAGAAUGUGUUUGCGCAGGUGCGUAAUCUUCCAUCACCAUCUACUGGUCUGGCCUGUGUAAUACAGCAUUUUUAGUCAUUUUUGUGGAUCCAUGUGAACGGAUUGAUAACGUUGUCAUCUGUACAAAGAAAAACUUUUCCGUUUUUAGUACUUCGUUGUACCCUCAGUCUGAACUCUCAUUGUUCUCCAUCUACUGUAAAUAUUUCCCUGUCUCUGAUGAUGGUGAUUGAUGAUGUACUGGAUAUAAGACAGAGAGAAAGACUCUCAGACGUUCAGACUCUCACUCACUCCUACAAACAGCUCAGUGUGUUCAGUUCACUGGAGCAGCAGGAGUUUGAUCGUGUGAAACUGAAGGAACAACACCAGGAGAACAAGCAAACUCCUCACAGAAGUUUAAAUAAAUGUCUUUUAAGAGCCUCUGAAAAACAUCAAAACUCCUAUUUAUGAUAUAAUAGUGUGUUUAAUCAACAUCGAUAUAUCAAUAAACCAAAUCCAGAUUUAUGAUUGUGAAGGAAUUCAUACAUUUCUGAAAUAAAGUGCAGUAUAGAGUCAGAUCAGAGCUCCUGUAAUACAGUGAAGUGUCUCCCUCUACUGGUGAUCAUCAGAGUUAAAGAUCUACACUGAUAUUUCACACUAACAUGAAAACACACACAGUGUUUCUUAGAAAUCAUUAAACAGGGACAGUUCAUUAGGAAGCAGAACUAAACACAAAGAUGUCAGAUUUCAGUCCAACAGUUCACUAAAUAUAGAUCUGUUUUCUCAAAUGUGGUGAAUUGAGUGUUUGUGUGUGUUGGUGGAGCUCAUGGUUUGAUGAUCUGACAGAAUCAUGUUUAUUCUCAGAUUGAUUCAUUCUUCAUCAUCACACUAAACCACACAGAAGAUCUGUUUCUGAAGAUCACUUUCUUUAAAACUACAAACACUAAAUGAAGUGAAUAAUUCAUGUUCUUACCAGAGAUUUCUGGAUUCGUCUGAUGAUGAUGAUGAUGAUGAUGUUUCAUAUCAAAUCUCCAUAAUCUUCAAAACUGAAGAAUAUUCAUAAAAUCAUGGAUUAGUGAUGAAUGCUUUUUACACUGAGUCUUACAUAAUACAUUUCCAUAAUAAUCAAUUUUAAAAGAUGUGUUAGAAAGGAUGAAAUAUACAGUAUAGUUUCACAUUCAGCUUCAGUUUAAAUAAUAUUUCACUCAUUAUCUGCUGUGAGAAUGAGGUAAAUCACCUUGUGAUGAUGAUGAUGAACUUUCCUCUGAUUGUUUAUGAGUCUCAAACAUCAUUUCCCUGUGAGAGAUGAAUUGUUUCGUGUUUCAGAUCUGGAUCUACAGGUUUGUUUCAGCGUCUCUUCAUGAUAAACUCCAGCAGCUGCACAGUUAAACAUCUCUCAUUAAACACCUGAUCUCCAUCAGCAGCUCAUUAGUGCCAUUAAAAUACAUUUUUAAAUCUUGUUUUGAUGUAUUUUUUGAGGCUCUUUUAAAAGAACUUUAUUUGAUGAUGAUGUUUUAUAUCAAGUAAAUGU